rnacentral:rRNA from 1 species
UACGAAGGGUGCGAGCGUUAUUCGGAAUCACUGGGCGUAAAGGGUGUGUAGACGGUUCAUUAAGUUCGUUGUUAAAGGCUCCAGCCUAACUGGAGUAUUGCAGUGAAAACUGGUGAGCUAGAGGGUGAGAGAGAAGUGGAAUUCCCGGAGUAGCGGUAAAAUGCGUGGAUCUCGGGAGGAACACCAAUGGCGAAGGCAGCUUCUUGGCUCAUUCCUGACGUUGAGGCACGAAAGCGUGGGGAGCAAACAGG